CCCCUAGAUGUCCUGGGCCGCACGCGCAAUACAAUGUAAAGUUCAGAAAGCAUAUCCUGUUCCGGAAGGCAAUGGGUAAUCUUUUCAAUAUUUUACGUGUUAGGGAUCGAUCUUUGCAAUUAUAGAUCUUGAACGAGGAAUACCUAGUAAGUGCAGCUCAUCAGGCUGUACUGAUUACGUCCCUGCCCUUUGUACACACCGCCCGUCGCUCCUACCGAUUUCGAGUGGUCCGGUGAAUCUUUUGGAAUUAGAGUGCAGACUCAAACUAAGAUCGAUAAACCUUAUCACUUAGAGGAAGGAGAAGUCGUAACA
rnacentral:rRNA from 1 species